UCGAGCGAGGCGUGUAGCAAUACACAGUCGAGCGGCGAACGGGUGAGUAACACGUGGAUAACCUGCCCAGAGGUGGGGGAUAACCCGGGGAAACUCCGGCUAAUACCGCAUGAUACCGAGAGGUCAAAGGGGGCUCGCAAGGGCUCUCGCCAUUGGAGGGGUCCGCGUCCGAUUAGCUAGUUGGUAGGGUAAUGGCCUACCAAGGCGACGAUCGGUAGCCGGCCUGAGAGGGUGAUCGGCCACACUGGAACUGAGACACGGUCCAGACUCCUACGGGAGGCAGCAGUGGGGAAUUUUGCGCAAUGGGCUAACGCCUGACGCAGCAACGCCGCGUGGAGGAUGAAGGUCUUUGGAUUGUAAACUCCUGUCAGCAGGGAAAAAGCGAAUUGGCCGAAUACGCCAGUGAGUUGAUUGUACCUGCAGAGGAAGCCCCGGCUAACUCUGUGCCAGCAGCCGCGGUAAUACAGAGGGGGCAAGCGUUAUUCGGAAUUAUUGGGCGUAAAGGGCGCGUAGGCGGCUUGGCAAGUGGAAGGUGAAAUCCCUCGGCUUAACUGAGGAACUGCCUUCCAGACUGCUUUUCUUGAGGCCGGGAGAGGCGAGUGGAAUUCCCAGUGUAGCGGUGAAAUGCGUAGAUAUUGGGAGGAACACCAGUGGCGAAGGCGGCUCGCUGGACCGGUUCUGACGCUGAUGCGCGAAAGCGUGGGGAGCAAACGGGAUUAGAUACCCCGGUAGUCCACGCCGUA
rnacentral:rRNA from 1 species